UACGUAGGGUGCGAGCGUUAAUCGGAAUUACUGGGCGUAAAGCGUGCGCAGGCGGGUAUGUAAGACAGAUGUGAAAUCCCCGGGCUCAACCUGGGAACUGCAUUUGUGACUGCAUAGCUAGAGUACGGUAGAGGGGGAUGGAAUUCCGCGUGUAGCAGUGAAAUGCGUAGAUAUGCGGAGGAACACCGAUGGCGAAGGCAAUCCCCUGGACCUGUACUGACGCUCAUGCACGAAAGCGUGGGGAGCAAACAGG
rnacentral:rRNA from 1 species